UGCCCGAUAGCUCAGUGGCAGAGCAGGUGACUGUUAAUCACUUGGUCGCAGGUUCGACCCCUGCUCGGGCAGCCA
rnacentral:tRNA from 1 species